UUUAUUUUUAAUUCAGUUAAUUCUGCAAUGUUAUGACUGAAUUCAAUUUGUGGUAAAUAUAGAUCAUGUAACAUUUUCCAAAUAUUUUUAUGUAUUUAUGCAUCUUUAUAUAAUUUUAAAAUUUUGUAUAUUUUUUAACUAGUAUUAUUUAAGGUAAAUAUCUGGUAUACCCUAAGAAAAAGCAGCCCAUAUAACAUUAAAGAAAUUAAUGUUAUAAAUUAAAAUCAGAGGUGGGAUUAAUGAGUAAUAUCCCAGUACAUGACAGUACUAUACGCAGCUCCCUCCAUACUCAGUUCAAGGACUGCUUGAGCUCAUUAGGCUUUGUGUUAAAAGAAAGCAUGAAAAUGAAGAAAAAUGAACAUCUCCCUACAACACAAAAGAACUUGUAAGAAUUUGUAUUUUUUUUUUCAUUUUUUGGUGUUACAUCCUAAGAUUUCAUCAUUCAUGAUCCUCAAGUUAUACAGAGGAUUUUUUCUUUUUUUGGUGUUGGCUAGUAAGGAUAGCCAAAUAUAGAUCUACAGAAAGAAAAUAUGGAUUGUAGCUUAAGGUGGAUGUAGUUUAACAGGGAAACAUUCAAUAAAGUAGGGUUGCUGUAUUUUAAAUUGUUAAAAGGAAUAAGUUAUCUUAUUUUAGUUCAUACUAAAUGAGGUAGUUAAGAAAUUCCUGAUUAAAAAUAGGUUGUGUCAUUCAGGCAGUUAAUACUUUUGUAUCAUAAUAUGUGUUAUUUUACAGUAAUAAUUGAAGAUUUCUGCAAGUGAAUUAAUGUAAACUGUACAUGCUUGGAAAUUGUCACGAUACCAUCUAGAAUGAGCAUUUUUAAGCAAACAGAAAACAUGUUCAGGAAGAAUGUUAAAAUUCUAAUACUUGUAAAUAGAAGAUGACAUUUCACUGCCUUUGUGCUUCAUGAGUGCUUUUGAAAUAACCAUCAAAACAAGAAGAAAAUAUUGAAAAGGCAAUUUGUGCCAAUACUUUUGUCAACCUCCUGGGAGUACUGGACUGCCUAUCCAAGUCUAUAUGCCUUUAUGGUUUUUCAAUUUGUGAAGAAUGUAAGAAACUUCAGAGUCUUAUCAGCAAAGUGUAGUACAUUAUCUAACAGAAAAGAGAAGAUAAAGUUUUUGUGAAUUCUUGUCAUAAUGUGAAACAUGGCAGUGUCCUGGCAGAUAAUGGUGUUAGAGGAGCUGAGAUUUCUACAUCAUGAUUAAUAGUCAGCAAGGAGAAACUGUGUGCCACACUGGACAUAGCGUCAGUAUAGGAAACCUUAAAACCUGCCUCCUCCCCCACCCCUGAAACAGGUGCUCAUGAUGACGUACUAGCCCUAACCUGAGUACAGCUGAUGGAAGUGUAAGAAAAUAUACAUUCCUGAAAACUCGAAGUGGUUAUCAAAUCUUGGUUCUACAGCUGACAUAAUGAUCUGAAAGGUUGCAGAGAGUAAACACUCUUGUGAAUCAUCAUAAUAGAGCUCAGAUAUUUGAAUAGAGACUGGAAUUUUGAUUUGAAGACAAUUUAUAAAUAUUUUCUGAUUGUUAAUUUGGAAUUAACUCAAGAAGUAGAGACACUACUACAUGGAUAAUGAUUGAAUUGACAUUGGCAUCGUCUCAAUGUUUUCAUAAAAUAUUCACUGUAGUCAAUUUUUUCCUCAGAAUUGAUGCUUACAAAUACUUGUCAACUUGGAGAUACACUUUUAGUUUUAUUUGCAUCACACUUAAUAGAUUAGAGAAUAGAUUGCUUUAAAUUUAUUCUUCAUAUACAACCUCAAGGAAUAGCGUUGUCCAACUGUAGUCUGUUCUACUUAAGAGAAAACACAGGAGGACUGCAUGUUUGAGGUCACCUUGACAACAGUGAAACCGCUUCUCUCCAUCUCAACAAUAAAAAGGUGGUAAACAUAUUGACAUACACAUCAAAUAUGCUUUUCUGAAGAGGUUUCAUCUACAGAAUCUCCCAAAUACCAUUAUAUAUUUAUUGUCUCUGGAGUAUUAUUUUACCUUUCUUAUCGUACAACUUGCAUAGAAGACUUCCAAGGAAUAGAAAUGACCUGCUCUUGGCAAGUAAUUGCCUGAAACGUUCAAUUCUUCUCUUUACAUUAUAUCUUGGACUCCCAUAUUGUUUGUUGCAUAUUAUCUUUUAUUCAUAUUUUAAUUUGCAAAUAGAAGAAACUUUUCUAAGUGGGUUGUAUAGCUAAUGUAUAUAAACUUGCUUAUGAUACUUUGGAUUAUACCAAAAAUUGUUGACUGAUUUAAUCUCUUUACACCAGAUUUAUCAUUUGUUAGAUGGCUUCCUCCUUCUUUGAAUAAGAAACUCAGAUUUAGGCAGGUAAUGGGGAAGAUUAUUUGACACAGUGGUGUUUUCUAGAAGAGAAACUCUGAGUGCUAAUUUUGCUAAUAUUACUGGUCUCUGUCUAGGGCAGAAAUAUGAGUUUCUGUGGUUUACUUUUUCUCCAAUACUCCUACAGGAGACUUUGGUGCCUUUGUAAUGGAGUGGAUUAAGAAAUGCCUUUGCAUUGAUAAGGAGAGCCAUAGUGAUGUUGUCUUGUAGAGUAUGUGGCAUCAUGUUUUUAUUAAUAUCACAUUCCAGAAUAGAGUAAAAUCUCAUGGUUUCAAAGUGAUUCUAGUUUAUUCUAAAUUUGUUUUUUUUUGUUUUGUUUUUCUCCUUAAACUAAAUAAAGUAAUGUGAAGCAGUGCUAAUUUUAAACAUUAGUUGUGUGUUUCUAGACAAUAAGCUGCCAGUUCAUUUGAAAAUUGUCUGCAUUUUUCAACCUGUUUUAAUAGUUGUAAGAAUGAAAAUAAGUGUUAAGAUUUUUUUAACUGUAUGGGUAUGUCUUCAUGUGUAUAUGUGCAUGUCAGGUGUCUGUAGAGAUCAGAGUUAUAUAAUAUUUCUUUGAAUGUUUGCACUGUUUACUAAUACAUUAUUUAAUAGGUGCUAGUAAGAAUUCUCAAUGGAAAAAUGCAACUGGUAACUCCAGCUGGAUCACUGAAAUCAAGGUUAUAAUGUAAGACAGAAUAUAGCUUAUUACAGAACAUCACAUGGAUUGUUUUUAAACUCAUAAAUUUGUAGUAUAACCCAUAUCUCCUUACUCAUUACAUUAUUAUUACAUUUUAGCUAAUCCUGAGGUGUGGUCUGGGUUAUUUUAUAGUGCUCAUUUAUUUUACAUGCUGUGUUCUUCUUGUUUUAACUGCAGAGUUAAAUUAGUGUUUUUUAAUUAGUCUCUAAUGUUAACAUUUUCUGAGGUUAGAGUGGUCAUGACUCUAGUCAGACACCAGUACAAUUUGUCAGUUUGUGUUAAGGACCACAAAAAUUUGUAAAACUGUAGAUUUACAGACCAUAGUUUUGAAACAAGUAAUCUGUUCUUAUGUUUAAGAACAAUUAAGGCUAAUUAUUAAACUAUGCCCCCAUAAAUAGUUGCAUAAAUCUUGGGUCAUUUGGAUUUUAGCAGAUGGUUUUCUACCACAUAGCCUACUGUACAGGUCUAGAUUCAUCUAGAAAACCUUUGGUGAAUUUAAAUAUAGAAGGCACAAAAAGAAUAUCUUUUCUUAUACUAGUUACAUAAAUGGUCCUCAACCUAUGGGUCCCAACCCCUUUGUGGGUUGAACAAACCUAUCACAGGGGUCACCCAAGAACAUUGGCAAGCACAGCUAUCUUACAUUACAACUCAUAACAGUAGCAUAAAUAUAGUUAUGAAGUAGCAUUGAAAACAAUUUGAUAGUUGGAGGUCCCCAUUAUGCGAACAGAUGUAUUAAAGGAUUGUAGUAUGAAGUAUUUUAAAGUGAGAUGUUUUAUUUCAUUAUAUUAUCAAUAUCUACUGUGAUUAAAGAACUCUGCGAUCACUCAUUGCUAAUCUGCUAUCCGAGUUCCACAGCAGCAUAUAAUAAGACAUACAUUUUCAUGGUAUAUAUAGUAGUCAGUAACUUUCUUAGGUUUUUAUCUAUGUACAUGGAGAUUUUAGAUGUAAGAUCUUUGUAGCAAUGAUUUUUCUAUUUAAAUAUCAUAGUGGUUUAUGGAGUUUACAAAAAUGUGUUUUGCUUCUAAAUGUGAUGAUGUUGAUGAUGUGUAUUAUUAUGUAAGUAUGAUAAUAUUUUUGAGUUUCUGCUUAUAGUUUUCUAGGUAUAAUAAUAUUAGAUCAUCAUCUUUAUAUGCCUUUGGUUUCUGUCAAUAUUUUGAAGUUGCCUGCAAAUAUUUUCUGGGUUAAGCCAGUAGAGUGGUGUAAGGAUAGUGCUAAUUUUCAUAGACUUGUCUUUACUAAGUUUCAAUGACUUAGUAAAUAAUAGCCAAUCUAAUAGGUGAAACAAUAUUUUUAAAGCCUAAAUUAAGCCUCACUUAAAUGCUUAAUGGACCUGACUUAAAAAAAAA
rnacentral:sRNA from 1 species